AAUGAACGCUGGAGGCGUGCUUAACACAUGCAAGUCGAGCGCGAAAGUUUCUUCGGAAAUUAGUAGAGCGGCGAACGGGUGAGUAACACGUAAGAAUAUACCUUUUAGUGAAGGAUACCUUCGAGAAAUCGGAGUUAAUACUGCAUACGUCCCUUCGGGGAGAAAGAUGGCUUUUAUGCUGUCGCUGAAAGAUUAGCUUGCGGACUAUUAGUUUGUUGGUGGGGUAGAGGCCUACCAAGACGAUGAUGGUUAACCGGCCUGAGAGGGUGAACGGUCACAUUGGAACUGAGACACGGUCCAGACUCCUACGGGAGGCAGCAGUGAGGAAUAUUGCGCAAUGGGCGAAAGCCUGACGCAGCGACGCCUCGUGGGGGAUGAAGGCCUUAGGGUCGUAAACUCCUGUUAAGUGGGAAGAAAGGCUCGCCAGUAAUAUGGGCGAGAGAUGACGUUACCACUAAAGAAAGCACCGGCUAACUUCGUGCCAGCAGCCGCGGUAAUACGAGGGGUGCAAGCGUUAUUCGGAAUAACUGGGCGUAAAGGGUGCGUAGACGGUUUUUUAAGUCUAUUGUUUAAGCCCCCAGCCUAACUGGGGAUCAGCAGUAGAAACUGGAAGACUAGAGGAUGGAAGAGAGAAGUGGAAUUCUCGGAGUAGCGGUAAAAUGCGUAGAUCUCGAGAGGAACACCGAUGGCGAANNCAGCUUCUUGGUCCAUUCCUGACGUUGAGGCACGGAAGCGUGGGUAGCAAACAGGAUUAGAUACCCUGGUANNNCACGCNNUAAACGAUGAUCACUAGAUGUUAGUUCUGCUUGCAGAAUUAGUAUCGAAGCUAACGCGAUAAGUGAUCCGCCUGGGGAGUACGAUCGCAAGAUUAAAACUCAAAGAAAUUGACGGGGGUCCGCACAAGCGGUGGAACAUGUGGUUUAAUUCGACACUACGCGAGAAACCUUACCUAGACUUGACAUGUUAUUGACCGCUAUGGAAACAUAGUUUUUCAAGUUUACUUGGACAAUAUCACAGGUGCUGCAUGGCUGUCGUCAGCUCGUGUCGUGAGAUGUUUGGUUAAGUCCUCUAACGAGCGCAACUCCUGUCGUCAGUUGCUACUACUUCGGUAGGCACUCUGGCGAGACUGCCUGGGAAACCAGGAGGAAGGUGGGAACGACGUCAAGUCAUCAUGGUCCUUAUGUCUAGGGCUACACACGUGUUACAAUGGUCGGUACAAAUGGCUGCAAACCCGUAAGGGGGAGCUAAUCCUAUAAAGCCGAUCUAAGUUCGGAUUGAGGUCUGAAAUUCGACCUCAUGAAGUUGAAAUCGCUAGUAAUCGCGUAUCAGAACGACGCGGUGAAUACGUUCUCGGACCUUGUACACACCGCCCGUCACACCACGAAAGCUGUCUGUACCCGAAAUCAUCUUAGCUAACCUGUUAAAGGAGGCGGAUGCUGAAGGUAUGGGGAGUGAUUGGGGUG
rnacentral:rRNA from 1 species